UACGUAGGGGGCAAGCGUUGUCCGGAAUCAUUGGGCGUAAAGAGCGUGUAGGCGGCCCGAUAAGUCCGCUGUGAAAGUCCCAGGGCUCAACCCUGGAAUGCCGGUGGAUACUGUCGGGCUCGAAUCCGGAAGAGGUGAGUGGAAUUCCUGGUGUAGCGGUGAAAUGCGCAGAUAUCGGGAAGAACACCCGUGGCGAAGGCGGCUCUCUGGGACGGUACUGACGCUGAGACGCGAAGCGUGGGAGCGAACAGG
rnacentral:rRNA from 1 species